UACGUAGGGUGCGAGCGUUAAUCGGAAUUACUGGGCGUAAAGCGUGCGCAGGCGGUUUUGUAAGCCAGAUGUGAAGUCCCCGGGCUUAACCUGGGAAUGGCAUUUGGGACUGCAAGGCUUGAGUUUGGCAGAGGAGACUGGAAUUCCUGGUGUAGCAGUGAAAUGCGUAGAUAUCAGGAGGAAUACCGAUGGCGAAGGCAGGUCUCUGGGCUAGAACUGACGCUCAUGCACGAAAGCGUGGGGAGCAAACAGG
rnacentral:rRNA from 1 species